GCCCGUCNCNCCCAUGGGAGUGGGUUGCAAAAGAAGUAGGUAGCUUAACCUUCGGGAGGGGCGCUUACCACUUUGUGAUUCAUGACUGGGGUGAAGUCGUAACAAGGUAACCGUAGGGGAACCUGCGGUUGGAUCACCUCCUU
rnacentral:rRNA from 1 species